GAUGAACGCUGGCGGCGUGCCUAACACAUGCAAGUCGAGAGGGUUUAGACCCUCGGCAAACGGGUGAGUAAUGCGCAGGAAUCUGCCUUAGAGUCUCGGAUAACCCAUCGAAAGGUGGAAUAAUACGAGAUAGUUCCCUCAGGGGUAAAGAUUUAUCGCUCUGAGAGGAGCCUGCGUCCUAUCAGCUUGUUGGUAAGGUAAAAGCUUACCAAGGCUAUGACGGGUAGCUGGAUCGAGAGGUUGACCAGCCCCAAUGGGACUGAGACACGGCCCAUACUCCUACGGGAGGCAGCAGUUGGGAAUAUUGCACAAUGGGGGAAACCCUGAUGCAGCGACGCCGCGUGCAUGAAGAAGCCCUUCGGGGUGUAAAAUGCUUUUCUUUGGGAUGAUUAUGACAGUACCAGAGGAAUAAGGACCUGCUAAUCACGUGCCAGCAGCAGCGGUAAUACGUGAGGUCCAAGUGUUAUCCGGAAUUAUUGGGCGUAAAGCGUUCGUAGGCGGAUUUGUAAGUUAGAUUUUAAAUAUCCAGGCUCAACUUGGAAUUUGGAUUUAAUACUGCAAGUCUUGAGCAUAGUUGGGGUAAGUGGAACUCUCGGUGUAGCAGUGAAAUGCGUUGAUAUCGAGAGGAACACCAAUGGCGAAGGCAGCUUACUAAACUAUUGCUGACGCUGAGGGACGAAAGCGUGGGGAGCGAAAGGGAUUAGAUACCCCUGUAGUCCACGCUGUAAACGAUGGAUACUAGGUAUUUGGAGCAUCGACCCUUUUAGUACCAAAGCUAACGCGUUAAGUAUCCCGCCUGGGGAGUACGGCCGCAAGGCUAAAACUCAAAGGAAUUGACGGGGGCUCGCACAAGCGGUGGAGCAUGUGGUUUAAUUCGACGAUAAGCGAAAAACCUCACCAGGACUUGACAUCUCGGGAACCCUGCAGAAAUGCGGGGGUGCCUUCGGGAACCCGAUGACAGGUGCUGCAUGGUUGUCGUCAGCUCGUGUCGUGAGAUGUACCCUUAAGUGGGCUAACGAGCGAAACCCUUACCCUGUGUUAUAUGUAUCACGGGGGACUGCCUCGGUUAACGGGGAGGAAGGUGGGGAUGACGUCAAAUCAGCAUGGCUCUUACGUCCUGGGCUACACACGUGCUACAAUGGUUGCUACAAAAGGUUUGCCAAACCGUAAGGUGGAGCUAAUCCUAUUAAAAGCAGCCUAAGUUCGGAUUGAAGGCUGAAAUUCGCCUUCAUGAAGUUGGAAUCGCUAGUAACUGUGAAUCAGCAUGUCACAGUGAAUACGUUCUCGAGCCUU
rnacentral:rRNA from 1 species